CCUACGGGUGGCUGCAGUGGGGAAUUUUGUACAAUGGGCGCAAGCCUGAUCCAGCCAUUCCGCGUGAGUGAAGAAGGCCUUCGGGUUGUAAAGCUCUUUCGCAAGGGAAGAAAACUUAUCCUCUAACAUAGGAUGAGGUUGACGGUACCUUGAUAAGAAGCACCGGCUAACUACGUGCCAGCAGCCGCGGUAAUACGUAGGGUGCGAGCGUUAGUCGGACGUACGCGGCGUAAGUUGUGCGCAAGAUGUUAAAUCCCCGAGCGCAACUUGGGAACUGCGUUUGAAACUACAAGACUAGAAUAGGGCAGAGGGGGGUAGAAUUCCACGUGUAGCAGUGAAAUGCGUAGAGAUGUGGAGGAAUAUCAAUGGCGAAGGCAGCCCCCUGGGAUCAUAUUGACGCUCAUGCACGAAAGCGUGGGGAGCAAACAGGAUUAGAUACCCGGGUAGUC
rnacentral:rRNA from 1 species